CUUUUAUUAAAAUUUAAUAAUAAAAUA
rnacentral:tRNA from 1 species